GUGCUCACUUCGUCAGCACAUAUACUAAAAUUGGAAAGAUACAGAGAAGAUGAGCAUGAACCCUGCGUAAGGAUGGCACAAAUUAGUGAAGCGUUCCAUAUUUUU